rnacentral:rRNA from 1 species
UUGGCCACCCAUACUACCCUGAACACGCCCAAUCUCGUCUGAUCUCGGAAGCUAAGCAGGGUCAGGCCUGGUUAGUACUUGGAUGGGAGACAGCCUGGGAAAACCAGAUGCUGUAGGAA